rnacentral:rRNA from 1 species
ACACGUAGGGCGCAAGCGUUGUCCGGAUUUAUUGGGCGUAAAGGGCUCGUAGGCGGUUUCGUAAGUCGGGUGUGAAAACUCAGGGCUCAACCCUGAGACGCCACUCGAUACUGCGAUGACUUGAGUUCGGUAGGGGAGCAGGGAAUUCCUGGUGUAGCGGUGAAAUGCGCAGAUAUCAGGAGGAACACCAUUAGCGAAGGCGCUGCUCUGGGCCGGUACUGACGCUGAGGAGCGAAAGCAUGGGGAGCAAACAGGAUUAGAUACCCCUGUAGUCC